rnacentral:rRNA from 1 species
UACGAAGGUGGCAAGCGUUACUCGGAAUUACUAGGCGUAAAGGGCAGGUAGGUGGUUUGAUAAGUCUGUUGUGAAAGCUCCCGGCUCAACUGGGAGAGGCCAACAGAAACUAUCAGGCUUGAGUAUGGGAGAGGUUACUGGAAUUCCCGGUGUAGCGGUGAAAUGCGCAGAGAUCGGGAGGAACACCAAUGGCGAAAGCAGGUAACUGGACCAUUACUGACACUCAACUGCGAAAGCUAGGGGAGCAAACAGG